rnacentral:rRNA from 1 species
UACAGAGGUCCCGAGCGUUGUUCGGAUUCAUUGGGCGUAAAGGGUGCGUAGGCGGCGGGGCAAGUCUGAUGUGAAAUCCUGGGGCUCAACCCUGGAACUGCAUUGGAUACUGCCUUGCUAGAGUACUGGAGAGGAAACUGGAAUUUACGGUGUAGCAGUGAAAUGCGUAGAUAUCAGGAGGAAUACCGGUGGCGAAAGCGACUCUCUGGACGGCAACUGACGCUGAGGCACGAAAGCGUGGGGAGCAAACAGG